UUUUGGACAAUGGGGGAAACCCUGAUCCAGCAAUGCCGCGUGAGUGAAGAAGGCCUUCGGGUUGUAAAACUCUUUUGUCAGGGAACAAACACCGGCUCUAACACAGUCCGGGAAUGACGGUACCUGAAGAAUAAGCACCGGCUAACUACGUGCCAGCAGCCGCGGUAAUACGUAGGGUGCGAGCGUUAAUCGGAAUUACUGGGCGUAAAGCGUGCGCAGGCGGUUAUACAAGACAGGCGUGAAAUCCCCGGGCUUAACCUGGGAAUGGCGCCUGUGACUGUAUAGCUAGAGUGUGUCAGAGGGGGGUAGAAUUCCACGUGUAGCAGUGAAAUGCGUAGAUAUGUGGAGGAAUACCAAUGGCGAAGGCAGCCCCCUGGGAUAACACUGACGCUCAUGCACGAA
rnacentral:rRNA from 1 species